GAUUAAACAAGGGAUAGGUAAGAGGAGACAAAGAAUAUAAUAAUUGUGGGUCUUCUCACUGUCUUCAAGGAGUCUAAAAGAGAGGCUCUCCUUUUCUUUUUUGUCUCAUUAUAAAGUCAAUUGAUUGGUUUUUGGUUGAUUUGUGUUUCGGCAGUGGUGAUCAGAAGCUGAGGGAUUUCCACUGGCACCUAUUCUUCUCCGUGAAACAAGAUGGAGCUCUCAUGGCUGAGAGUGCAGAGGAGGGAGGAAGAGGCGGCGGUGUGAGAUGUGAGAAUGGCGAAGGUACAGCCCACAGUGGGCGACAGACGAGUGUGCCUCUUUCACUUGUGGACACCACUCUCUGCCGCAGAUUGCUGAUAAGGCAGAUCAUGGUGAACAAGCUUUUCUAGACUGACUUUCCACAUUCAUCCACAUUUUGACUGUGUGCAUCAUUCCACCCAGUCCAUUCUAAAGGAGAUCAGCCCUGGGUGUUUGGAAGGAAUGACGCUAAAGCUGAAACUCCAGUACUUUGGCCACCUCAUGCGAAGAGCUGACUCAUUGGAAAAGACUCUGAUGCUGGGAGGGAUUGGGGACAGGAGGUAAAGGGAACGACAGAGGAUGAGAUGGCUGGAUGGCAUCACCGACUCGAAGGACGUGAGUUUGAGUGAACUCUGGGAGAUGGUGACGGACAGGGAGGCCUGGUGUGCUGCGAUUCAUGGGGUCGCAAACAGUUGGACAUGACUGAGUGACUGAACUGAACUGAACUGAUCACUACUGCAGUAAACAAUCUGCCUGCAGCACAGGAGAUGUAGGUUCGAUCUCUGGGUCACGACAAUACCCUGGAGGAGGAAAUGGCAACUCACUCCAGUAUCCUUGCCUGGGAAAUCCCAUGGACAGAGGAGCCUGGAGGGCUAUAGUCCAUGGGGUCACAAAAGAGUCAACAUGAUUGAGCAAAACAACAACAACAAAAAUUUUUAAAGCCUUUAAUUCUCAUGCUGCAGUCUUCUGGAUAACCUCUCCUCCUAGACUUCAUAUCCCCCUUUUUACUUUCAAAUUCUUCUUGCAUGUUCCCUCACAAAAUGCAAUAUAAAUAGUAAAAAAUUUCAGGGUGGGAACAGCCACACUUCAUGUGGCUUUGAAAACUCUCUAACCUCUAGUUUCCUCAAUUAUAAAAACAAGUGAUCAUAACCAGUGAUGUGAUUAUUUUGAAGAUUAUAGAUUAUCUAUGUAAAAUGCCUAGUAGAGUGGUGGCAUAGAGUAGAUAUUCAACUAUUUUUUUAAAGUAGGAUUACA
rnacentral:lncRNA from 1 species